AAAUUUUUUGUUUUAGAAUAAUUUUUUUAUUUGAUAUAUUGUUAUAUAAGAUGUUUUUGUAUCGUUUUUGUAAAUAGGAGGAUUGGGCAAUUAUAAAUUAGACCUAGUGUUUGAAUAAGAUUAGAUUAAUAAAAGUGCCAGUAAUCACGGUUAUACUUUAUAGUGAAGAAAAUUUGAUUGUGUUUAAUUUUAUGUUUUAUAUAAUGAAAUAGGUUAAAUUUGGGAGAAGAUAUAAAAAUUGAAAAACAAACCACGAGAAAUUGGAUUAGAUACCCAAGUACUUUGUUUUAUAUUUAGUAGUUAAUAAACAUAGAUAUAUUGAAUACUAAAAACUAGGCGGUUUAUUUUAAACAGGGGAGCUUGUUUUUUAGUCCGAUAAUCCACGUUUAAUUUAACUUAAUUUGUUUUAUUAUGUAUGUCUGUUUAUAUAGAUUUAUAAUAAGUUGGUAGUUUGGAUUUUAGGUCUCCAUGUAUAUUAUUAAGAGUGAAGUGAGCUACAAUAAUAAGAUGUUAUUUUGGAUUUUCAUUAAGAAGAGAAGAAGAAAUAGGACUUGUAAGUAAAAAGAUAUUAAAUAGGUUUUUUGAAGUUUUUUAAAAAUAAGAGUACUUACUGCCCGCCACCAAAGGUGUAAAUUCUUGUAAGGCGUAACAAGGUAACUUUUCUAGAAAGAGGAGUUGGUGUAGAAAAGG
rnacentral:ncRNA from 1 species